rnacentral:rRNA from 1 species
AGUAACACGUGGGUAACCUGCCCAUCAGAAGGGGAUAACACUUGGAAACAGGUGCUAAUACCGUAUAACACUAUUUUCCGCAUGGAAGAAAGUUGAAAGGCGCUUUUGCGUCACUGAUGGAUGGACCCGCGGUGCAUUAGCUAGUUGGUGAGGUAACGGCUCACCAAGGCAACGAUGCAUAGCCGACCUGAGAGGGUGAUCGGCCACACUGGGACUGAGACACGGCCCAGACUCCUACGGGAGGCAGCAGUAGGGAAUCUUCGGCAAUGGACGAAAGUCUGACCGAGCAACGCCGCGUGAGUGAAGAAGGUUUUCGGAUCGUAAAACUCUGUUGUUAGAGAAGAACAAGGAUGAGAGUAAAAUGUUCAUCCCUUGACGGUAUCUAACCAGAAAGCCACGGCUAACUACGUGCCAGCAGCCGCGGUAAUACGUAGGUGGCAAGCGUUGUCCGGAUUUAUUGGGCGUAAAGCGAGCGCAGGCGGUUUCUUAAGUCUGAUGUGAAAGCCCCCGGCUCAACCGGGGAGGGUCAUUGGAAACUGGGAGACUUGAGUGCAGAAGAGGAGAGUGGAAUUCCAUGUGUAGCGGUGAAAUGCGUAGAUAUAUGGAGGAACACCAGUGGCGAAGGCGGCUCUCUGGUCUGUAACUGA